AUUGCACGCUGGCGGCAGGCCUAACACAUGCAAGUCGAGCGAAGCGGCGGAUGGGUGAGUAACGCGUGGGUAACCUGCCCUUAAGUCUGGGAUACCAUUUGGAAACAGAUGCUAAUACCGGAUACUAAAGGAUGGACCUGCGAUGCAUUAGCUAGUUGGUAAGGUAACGGCUUACAAAGGCGAUGAUGCAUAGCCGAGUGGAGAGACGGAUCGGCCACAUGGGGACUGAGACACGGCCCAAACUCCUACGGGAGGCAGCAGUAGGGAAUCUUCCACAAUGGACGAAAGUCUGAUGGAGCAACGCCGCGGGAGUGAAGAAGGUUUUCGGAUCGUAAAGCUCUGUUGUUGGUGAAGCGGUAAUCAACCAGAAAGGCACGGCUAACUCCGUGCCAGCCGCCGCGGUAAUUC
rnacentral:rRNA from 1 species